ACCGAAGACCCCUAUAAUGCGUGAAUUAGCUUUGCACGUUUUACGGCGCGCGCCCAUCCAUCGGCAGCGUAGGGACAAGACCGCAGCCCGUGCUUUUUCCCACAGUCACGGCGCUCGACAGAAAGACGGCAGAUCGCAACAGGGUCCAGAUCCUGUCCUGGAGGCUAUGGGCACAAAGCUGGGAACAACCCAGGAUGGGGUGCCAACCCAGUGCAGGGCACAGUCACUCCUACAGGCAAUUUGUUAACUUAAGUCACCUUAGCAUGUUAUUGGACCAUGAUGGUGGUGGUGGUGGGGGGGGGACUAGAGUCCCUGGAGGAAACCCCACAAUGACACAGUGAGAACAUGCAAACUCUACACACAUAGAGCCAUGGCAGAGACUCGAACCCUGGUCCUAGAGGUGUAACUGUGCUAAACACUGCGACGCCACACCGCCCUCUGAUGGAUGGUAUUCUUUCAAUACAGGGAAAACACUGGAAUUUAUUGUGAGGUUUAACAAUUUGGCCUCUUUGACUCUCUGUCCAUUAGUUCUAGGACAUCUGUUCAAAGAUUAUCCCAACCUAGUGGUGAGACAACACACUAGUGUGAGACCUAGAGUCAGAGAGAUACCAGUAGUGGGACGACGCACCAGUGUGAGACCUAGAGUCAGAGAGAUACCCGUAAACUUAUUGCUCCAGGAGUAAUGUUGCGUAUAUUUAAGAGUUUUCUGCAAAGGAGAAUGUCCUACAAAGAUAACAUUACUCAGUGUUGGGGAGUAACUAGUUACAUGUAACAGCGUUAUGUAAUGAAAUUACAAAAUAAAUGUAAUUGUAAUACGUUACAGUUCCUGAGAAACAGUAUGUAAUUAAAUUACAGUUACCACUCAAAAUAUUGGUGAUUGCAAAGGGUUACAUCUGAAUAUAUUCUUUAUAGUGAAAAAACAGCCUAAUGUAGAAUAUAACAUUCAUUUAGUUGCUUUGCCUCUUUUCGCUGUGCAGAAAUGCUUUCUUCCGGCUUAUUUCCCGACAUCGCAGGUCAGCAAAGGCGUUGGGACUUUUCUGCUUUAUUUCCCAGUUUAAAAGAAUUUGUUAGAAAAGUAAUCAUAUGUAAUAAGUUACAUUACUUUGAUGAAGCAAUCAAAAUAGUUACAUUAAUUAUUACAUUAUUAACAGGGUAACUAGUAAUCAGUAACCUAUUAUAUUUCAAAAGUAACCUUCCCAACACUGAUUAUACUCUAUAUUCUAAUUUUAAUCUAACUUGCUCUUACCAUCAAAUUUUUAAACCACUUAAGAAAUGUGUUAUAUGGUCGCUAAUAUUGCAGAUUAAUGUAAUGUCACAUCCAUGUAAUCCUCCAUCAAACAGGAUUUUUCUCUAUUCAAUAUCGGGCUGCUUUUUGCGGCUUCAUGAGGGGAAUAUUGUGUGGAGGUUGUUCUCCUAUUUGCAUAUUAAUCCAGAUCCAGUUUGCAUUUACUAGCCAUGUUUUCAUCCCACUGUUUCCUUUUCAUGUCCAUCUGCGUCCCAGAACCUUCAUCCUUCAGUGAGGAACUUCCUGUUCUCUUUGGAUUAUCUGCCUGUUUAAUGCUGUACAUGUCAGUGUGUCCCUUUGACCUGUCGAUUCUUAGCACAUUACGCACAGGGCCACUUUCUGUGACAUCACCUUUCGUUUUGAGGCAGUAUCAAUUUAGAGCUCAAAAGCACUAAUUUUGAUGGUUUUCUAUAUCCUGUGCUGCACAUAAUUACUCAAGGAUCCUCCACAGUUGAUCCUCUGCUUGAGUGGCUUGCACGUUUCAUUCUAAGUGUUCGAUUUCCACAUGCCCAUGUACAGAAUACCCUCCAAACCUGGAUCUGCUGCCCUACUUGUGCAAUAGUGAGCCAGAAAUCACUAACACCAAAUGAACAAAGAAAAAGAAAAAUCUAUUUGAUAAUCUAUUUUAACAGCACAACUUCUCCAGGUGUCCUAACCAAAAACACACAUACCUGUCAGACACAAUGGUCUUAUCGUACUGUAUCGCUUGUAGUGAACGCUGAAUGGGUGGGUAAAAUCUCUUCUGAACGAGCCCAAGACCCCAUCCUGCCACAGUAUUAGUUGUCUAAACAGGUUGGUUUAUCAAGGGUUCAGUCCUAUGAGAUCCAUGUUUUGGAAUCUAGCUGACUGACUGGUGGUUUAUCUCUUUAUGGUGAGAGAUCCUCUUAAAGCUGCUAAAUAAAGAAGGCUGAAGACUUUUCAUUAUGAUUAACACUGCUGAUGACUGUUUGUUCCAGUUCUCUGUCACCAUGAUGGUGAAUUCAUCUUCACUCCACUGUGAUGGAACCUGAUCACUUGAUGUCCUGGUGAUUGUUUUAAAAUCAAUAACAUUUAAGUUAUUAAGCCAAUUGUUUUUUAAGCAAUGCGUAACUUGGGAUCCAUUUGUCCGAUCAGUGAUUGCUUGUUCCUGUACCCUGAAACUGCAAAUUUUUUAAUCGAACUGUCGUGCUUCAUCGUAAUUAGUCCUCUGGUUUUCAUUAACAUCUCUUAAGUGUUACGGAUGUCGAUUUCACUCUCAGUGAUGUUCUUCACUUCAUUUCAGGUUCUACAAACAGCAAGAGAAAUGACCUAGAUGAGCAAAGAUCGGCAAGGUUUCAGAGGUGAAUUCUACCUGAGGAACCACACAGAAGGAUGUCCUGCAAAUAGAAAUUUACUAGAUCCAAAAGGACAUGCAAACAAACAGUUUAUUAAUUUCUUUGCUCUCAGCGUCUUACUAUUUACUAAAGUAACAGGGUGUAAUUUACUGGAAGCUCCCAGAAAAAGGGACAUAAAGUGUCUUCGGGUUGCAUGGCGGACCUGCUCUCUUCCACCUUCCGGCGACUUCCAGACUCUCUGAAGUCUUUCCUGACUGAAGCUGAUGCACAGCUUUCACCUUUGUGUAAGCUAACCCUAAAAGACCAGCUUAAAGAAUUAAUUGUGCACUCUGUUUCUUAAAUGGACAAUAAAUAACCAUCAGACAAAUGUCUCUAGAUGACUUAGUCUGAAGGUCAUGAGCUGGGAUGUUUUAGAACUCUUAAUUAGACCUGAGAAAUCUGUCAUUUCUGAUUUAAGCUAUCUUGACAUUUCUGAUUUUUUGACUGAUUUGUUUUCCUCAGAAUGUGUGUUUUAAUGAAGACAGAAGCUGUGUGUUUUUAAAAGUAAGGCCUUAAAAUAAGGCCUUAGAAAUAAGUGUAUGUGAUGGACAGCACCCUAGAGGUCAUGUGACUGGUGGUACCCACCUUUAGGCAUAAACAGAUACCAUUUACCUAGACAUUUCACCCGUGUUUGGGCCAUUCCAUUAAAGCCACUCGAACAACAAUAUGGUCUGAGAGCAUACUCUGCAAACAGGGCCAAGACUCAACCGAGGCCAAGCAUAUUAACAUUUUCUCCAGCUGCUUUAAUAGAACCCAGAACUUACCAAAACAGGGACACAUCUGGCAAGAGUGUUUGUGCCAAA